rnacentral:rRNA from 1 species
ACGUAGGGGGCUAGCGUUAUCCGGAAUUACUGGGCGUAAAGGGUGCGUAGGUGGUUUCUUAAGUCAGAGGUGAAAGGCUACGGCUCAACCGUAGUAAGCCUUUGAAACUGGGAAACUUGAGUGCAGGAGAGGAGAGUGGAAUUCCUAGUGUAGCGGUGAAAUGCGUAGAUAUUAGGAGGAACACCAGUUGCGAAGGCGGCUCUCUGGACUGUAACUGACACUGAGGCACGAAAGCGUGGGGAGCAAACAGG